UACGUAGGGGGCUAGCGUUGUCCGGAAUCAUUGAGCGUAAAGAGCGUGUAGGCGGUCCGGUAAGUCCGCUGUGAAAGUCGGGGGCUCAACCCUCGAAUGCCGGUGGAUACUGUCGGGCUAGAGUGCGGAAGAGGCGAGUGGAAUUCCUGGUGUAGCGGUGAAAUGCGCAGAUAUCAGGAGGAACACCAAUGGCGAAGGCAGCUCGCUGGAACGGUACUGACGCUGAGGCGCGAAAGCGUGGGGAGCGAACAGG
rnacentral:rRNA from 1 species